rnacentral:lncRNA from 1 species
GCCAAUUCAUUCUCCAAGAUAUAUAGUCGAGCUUCAUUUUUCUUGUUGAAUAACUGAUUGAGGGUCCUCCAUAUUUCAUGGGUUGAUUUUCACCUUAUAAUAUGAUCGAAUAAACUGGAUAAGAUGGAUCUCUUCAAGAUAAACUCCGUUUUUGCAUUAAUCUGCUUCCACUUUUAUAUGCACCAUCAUUUUUCGAUUCAUCAAUAGGAGGACUUGUAUU